rnacentral:rRNA from 1 species
CCCACGGGUGGCAGCAGUGAGGAAUAUUGGUCCAUGGACGAGAGUCUGAACCAGCCAAGUAGCGUGAAGGAUGACAGCCCAAUGGGUUGUACACUUCUUUUAUCUGGGAAUAAAAUGUUCCACGUGUGGGAUUUUGUAUGUACCCUAUGAAUAAGGAUCGGCUAACUCCGUGCCAGCAGCCGCGGUAAUACGGAGGAUCCCAGCGUUAUCCGGAUUUCUUGGGUUUAAAGGGGUCGGAGGUGGAUUGUUAAGUCAGGUGGGAAAGUUUGCGGCUCAACCGUAAAAUUGCAGUUGAAACUGGCAGUCGUGAGUACAGUAGAGGUGGGCGGAAUGCGUGGUGGAGCGGUGAAAUGCUUAGAUAUCACGAAGAACUCCGAUUGCGAAGGCAGUUCACUGGACUGCAACUGACACUGAGGCUCGAAAGUGUGGGUAUCAAACAGGAUUAGAUACCCCUGUAGUC